AACGCUGGCGGCGUGCUUAAUACAUGCAAGUUGAACGCUUUUUCCUCCCGAGUGCUUGCACUCAAUGGAAAGAGGAGUGGCGGACGGGUGAGUAACACGUGGGUAACCUACCCAUCAGAGGGGGAUAACACUUGGAAACAGGUGCUAAUACCGCAUAACAGUUUAUGCCGCAUGGCAUAAGAGUGAAAGGCGCUUUCGGGUGUCGCUGAUGGAUGGACCCGCGGUGCAUUAGCUAGUUGGUGAGGUAACGGCUCACCAAGGCCACGAUGCAUAGCCGACCUGAGAGGGUGAUCGGCCACACUGGGACUGAGACACGGCCCAGACUCCUACGGGAGGCAGCAGUAGGGAAUCUUCGGCAAUGGACGAAAGUCUGACCGAGCAACGCCGCGUGAGUGAAGAAGGUUUUCGGAUCGUAAAACUCUGUUGUUAGAGAAGAACAAGGACGUUAGUAACUGAACGUCCCCUGACGGUAUCUAACCAGAAAGCCACGGCUAACUACGUGCCAGCAGCCGCGGUAAUACGUAGGUGGCAAGCGUUGUCCGGAUUUAUUGGGCGUAAAGCGAGCGCAGGCGGUUUCUUAAGUCUGAUGUGAAAGCCCCCGGCUCAACCGGGGAGGGUCAUUGGAAACUGGGAGACUUGAGUGCAGAAGAGGAGAGUGGAAUUCCAUGUGUAGCGGUGAAAUGCGUAGAUAUAUGGAGGAACACCAGUGGCGAAGGCGGCUCUCUGGUCUGUAACUGACGCUGAGGCUCGAAAGCGUGGGGAGCAAACAGGAGGAGAUACCCUGGUAGUCCACGCCGUAAACGAUGAGUGCAAGGUGUUGGAGGGUUUCCGCCCUUCAGUGCUGCA
rnacentral:rRNA from 1 species